UCUCUCCCAGCACUGCUACUUGCUUUGACCCACUUUGGAGAGAGAGAAGAGAGAGAAAGAAGUGGCAUUUUCGAUUUUGGUAACUUCCUUCCGCAUCCUUUCUCUCCCUCUUCCCUUUCGUUUCCAUUAAACAAACGACACUCACAUUUUUUUUGUCCAAAAACCAUAAAAAGCCACCCAAAAACCCUCUCUCUCUGUGCGUGCCCAAUUCGAAAGCAAGGUUUCUUCUCUACCCACUUCUCCCUUUGCAUCCAAUUUUCAAAAAACCCCUGCUAUGAUCCUAGUUUCUUCAUGAUGGAGUUUGUGGGCAAAAUCGUGAAGAAAGAGGUCAAAGGUGUUGGGUUUGUCACCGGAACCGUCAAAUCCUACGACCCUUCUUCAAGUUUCGUCGAGAUCCUCUACGACAACGGCGAUUCUGAGGAGCUGGAAUCAAACGAAGUGGUUUUGCUUCUUCAACAAGCUCAGCCGGAGCUCGCUAAGCCAAAGACUCGGGUUGGCCGGAAGCCUAAGAAGCGCCGCCGUGUUGAGAAGAAGGCCGGAGCUGGAGACAGUUCAGGUAAUGCCAAUGGAAAUUUAGUUUUGGAAGUUAGUGAAAUUAGGGAUAAUUCGGAAGUGAACGGUGAAUUAGGUCUUGGAAUUGAGGAAAAGCUAGGAAAUGGGAAUGCUAAUGCGAAUGGGAGUGUGGAGUUAAUUGUGAGUGAUGGAACUCUUGGGAGGGAAAUUGGGGUUGAGGGGGAUUUAAAUUUGAAUAAGGAUGUAGCCGUAAAUGGAAGUUGUCUUAGGGAUGAGCUUGAUUUGAAUUCUGGGAUUAAUCUCAAUGAGGAUUUGAAUCUUAAUGAUGGGUGUGGUUUAUUGACUUUUGAUGGCACUGAGGUUGGUUUAACGAGAAGAGAUUGUAUUGACUUGAAUUUGGAUGUCAAUAAUGACGAUGAUGUCAGCAUGAAUGGAGGAUCUUUGGGCGGCAGGAAGUUGCAGCGGGAAUGUAAUUUUGAUUUGAAUGUCGAGGUGUGCGAAGAUGUAAAGGAAACCCGCGGCGAUGUUGCCAAUGGCAAUGGUAUUUAUGAGGCAAAUGCCAUAUUGGGUAAGAUGGGUCAGCUCCAAGGAGACAUGACAAAUCUUAAUCAGAGAUCUAUGGAAGUUGAUGAUGUUCGUAGCGAUUUGAUUGAGGUUUCCAAAGAUUUCACACCAGAGGUAGAUCAUGUUUCUGCCAACCAUGCAGCUACAGAUGCUUCUUUGUGUUCGAUUGAAGGAAAGGAAGACAACGAUAACAGAGGCGAUAUAGCAGCUGUUGGCUCUCUUCAGGUUUCAGAUGUUGUUUCUGUGGAGACUCAGCAAAUGGAUAGUCCUUGCGAAGCUGGUUUAGUCGUAACUCAUGAAGACCAAGAGGAGACAGGAAGUCUUAGCAAACAAGGAAGGGGUCGAAGGAAAAGAAGAAAAAUAGCGGAUGAACUAAAUAAUACCCCAGAGACAGGUUUAAGGAGGAGCUCUCGCCGGGCAUUAGCAAGAAAACAUGCUUCAAGCGUCAUAGUGUCACUGGAGAUGGAUGAUCCUAUGGUGUCUGUGGAAACCAGUGCCAUGGCAGAAGAAAAACCUGUAACUGUAAUAUCUGGUCAUGAACAGUCCAAAAUUUGUCAGGCGAAGUUGCAAUUACCCCCUUCUUCCCAAAAUUUAAAUUUAGAUGAUGUUCCUGUUCUUGAAGUCUUUUCUAUUUAUGCUUGUUUAAGGUCAUUCAGUACUUUAUUAUUUUUGAGUCCAUUUGAGUUGGAGGAUCUUGUAGCUGCUUUGAAGUCCGAAACCCCCAGUGUAUUAUUUGAUAGCAUUCAUGUUUCUAUUUUGGAAACUCUGAGAAAGCAUUUGGAAUACCUUUCCAAUGAGGGUAUCCAAUCUGCAUCUGAUUGUCUGAGGAAUCUUAAUUGGGAUUUUCUGGACAUUGUCACAUGGCCUAUUUUCAUGGCCGAGUACCUUCUGAUUCAUGGUUCAGGAUUUAAAACUAGCUUUAAUCUUAACUACUCAAAUUUCACAGCUGACUAUUACAAACAACCUGUGAAUGUGAAGGUUGGGAUUCUUCAGUAUCUCUGUGAUGAUAUGAUCGAAGCAGAAGCAAUAAGGUCUGAGCUUAACAGGAGAUCGUUGAUAACUGAGAACAGUGUUGGUUCUGAUCAGAAUAUGUAUUUUGACACUUGUAAGAAACGGAGAGCUGGAACAGAUGUGUCUGGUGGCUCCUGCUUGACUGAGGAAAUUGCAGAUGACACUGACUGGAACAGUGAUGACUGCUACCUUUGCAAGAUGGAUGGUAAUUUAAUAUGCUGUGAUGGUUGCCCUGCUGCAUUCCACUCCAAGUGUGUUGGAAUUGCAAGUGACAAUCUGCCUGAAGGGGACUGGUAUUGCCCUGAGUGUGCAAUUGGCACACAUAGGGCAUGGAUGAAAUCACGUAGGUCACUUCGAGGAGCAGAUUUGAUAGGGAGUGAUAUUCAUGGUCGUCUUUAUUUUAGCAGCUAUGGUUACUUGUUAGUGUCGGACUCAUCUGAUGAGGGGUCUUUGUUCAAUUACUACCACAGAAAUGAUCUACAUUUAGUGAUUGAAGCUUUAAAGUCUAUGGAUACUUCGUCUGGAGGCUUAAUAACGGCUAUCUACAAGCAUUGGGAUAUCCCUGCUAACCCAAGUGUGGAGACUAGUAACUUGGUCGUCUUGAACCAAAGCUCCACCAAGAACCUUCGUGCGAAGGGUGAAUCUUCUGCAAUGAAGACAUCUUUAGCUCCCAUUACUUUUUCAGAAGCAUGUUUGGUGAAUAAUCGUGUGGUUGAUGAAAGAAAGUUAGAUGAAAAUUCUACAAUUGACUGUUGUAAUCAUCCUGGCCAAGAGUUUCCUAAAGCUGGGAAUCGCUUGGAUUCAGCAACAACUAUAGAAAGUCCCUGUGCUGUUUCAGAAGGAUCAGCUGAUACCACACAAGUUAGACCAGGCAUCGAGAAUGUUCAAAUGAAUGGGCUUUACGAUUCCAAUAGAUCUGAUGAGUCCUUGAAUCAGUCAGGGAUACCAGAAAAACAUCAUCCAGUUGGUGACAGUUCUUUGGUAUCAUCUAGCUUAGAUGUGGAACAUAAGAGGAAAUUAAGAUCUGUGGAUGCUAGUUGUGCCCAAUUGCCUGAAGAUAAGGAUACCUCUGAUGUGCCUUUUGGAAUAGACUAUGUAAACUAUUAUAGCUUUGCCCGAACGGCCUCAUUAAUUGCACAUGAGUUGAUGAGUAAGUCACCUGAAAAGAUAAAUAAGAAUAUUGUAUUGACUGAAGACGACAUAAUUUCAGAGCAAGUCAAGGCCAUUAUGAAGAAAUCUACAAGCUUCUGCUGGCCAAGUAUUCAAAACCAGCAUGCAGCUGCCCAAAAGGAAAAUUGUGGGUGGUGCUUUUCUUGCAAAGUUGCAAAUGAUGACAGGGAUUGCUUGUUUAAUUCUGUAAUGAAGCCUGUUUGGGAAGUGUCUGAAAGUACUUUUGGUGGACUUCAUCCCAGCAAGAUCCAGAAUGGACAUCUCAGGGAUAUCAUCUGUCAUAUUCUCUCCCUUGAGGAUCGAUUACGCGGGAUUUUGUUGGGUCCAUGGUUGAAUUUACAACAAACUGAUCUUUGGCAUAAGGAGCUUAUGAAGACCGGUGAUCUUCGUCCUGCUAAAAAGUUAUUGCUUAUUUUGGAAUCCAAUUUGCGGCCUUUUGCUUUUGCAGCAGAUUGGUUAAAGCAUGUGGAUUCUAUUGGUACCAUGGGAUCAGCUAUUCAUUUUGUGGCCAGUUUACGCACAAGGCAUGGUAUUGGGAAGAAAAGGGCUAGGUUUUCUGAUGCUGAACCCAAUCCAUCUUCAAACAAUGCAAGCGGUUUGGGAAUGUAUUGGUGGAGAGGUGGUAAGCUUUCCCGGCAGUUGUUUAAUUGCAAGAGUUUGCCCCGCUCAUUGGUUGCCAAGGCUGCUAGACAAGGGGGUUGCUCAAAGAUUCCAGGCAUUUUGUAUCCUGAAAAUUCAGAUUUUGCUAGGCGAAGCAAAUGCAUUGCAUGGCGGGCUGCUGUUGAGAUGUCAACAAGUGUUGAGCAGCUUGCUGUACAGGUUAGAGAGCUUUAUUCAAACAUAAAGUGGCGUGAUAUUGAAAAUAGCCAUCCUCAAUAUGUCUUGGACAAGGAAUCUAGAAAAGCAGUUAGACUGUUCAAGAAAGCAAUUGUACGCAGGAAGUCCACUGAAGGGAAAUCUGUGAAGUACCUUAUUGAUUUUGGGAAGAGAAGGGCUAUUCCUGAUGUCGUUACCAAACAUGGUUCUGUGUUGGAAGAACCCUCAAGUGAGAGAAAAAAAUAUUGGCUGGAAGAAUCUUAUUUACCCAUGCAUCUUUUAAAGAAUUUUGAGGAAAAAAGAAUCAUUCGGAAGUCCGAUGUAAAGAAACUUGGGAAAACUAUUGAGAUUGGUAGAGUUAAUAGGAAGGUUCCUCAACAAAGAGGAUUUCCGUAUUUGUUUUCUAGACUGGAAAGAUCUGAUUGUCAUCAGUGUGGGCACUGCAACAAAGAUGUUCCUAUCAGGGAUGCUGUGAGCUGCCAAUAUUGCAAAGGACAUUUUCAUAAGAAGCAUGUAAGGAAAUGUAGUGGCACAAGGGCUACUAAAUGCACAUAUUCAUGUCACAGAUGCGAGGGUGGGAUGCGUGCAAAGACUAAAACUAAUUCAAAAAGAAAGAGAGUUGACUCUAAACAGCAGAAGGUUGAAUCACAGACAUGUAAAAAUACUCCCUCAGUUAGUAAGUCGGUGAGCCUUAAAGGCAAUAAAAGGGCUUUGAGUAAGGCACGGAAGGCAAAAUCUCAAACUAAUAAGAAGAUCGCACCAAGUGUACCACUUCGUCGUUCUACUAGGAAGGCCAAAUCAUUGUACAUGUACAGUCAAAUGAAUGGAGGGCGGAAAAAAGGAAUUCAAAGUAAAAAGAAAGUUGGACGUAAAAAGGGGAAGCAAAAUAAAUCAAAGAAGGCAAAUAAUCAGAAGCCGAAAGAAACUACUGCUCAGCAAGAGAAGUGUAUGCCAACUACUGUUUGUAAGAAAAGAACAAACGUUUGUAGCAGCUACUGGCAUAAUGGUCUUUGGUUGUCUAGAAAGCCAAAUGAUGAACGGGUAGUGUUGUUUCGGGAAAAAAAGCAUGUUUUCUCCUCUGAGGGUUUUUCUGCUGCCACUGAUAAUCCUAAAUGCGGCAUUUGUUCUGGAGAUGGACCCGAAUUACAUUAUAUUGCUUGUGACAUAUGUGGAGAUUGGUAUCAUGGGGAUGCUGUUGGGCUCACUGUAGAGAAUUCCAGACAAUUAAUUGGAUUUAAGUGUCAUGUUUGUCUUCAAAGGCAUGCUCCGAUAUGUCCCCAUAUGACAUGUAAAGCACUGUCUCUCACUGGAAACAGCACUAAAGAGUGUGCUGAGGAACUAUCAAAUUCUGUAUCUCUCCAGUUUCCGACUGAGGUUUGAUGAUUUGCUUUGCAUGGUGGAGAUGAGAUGCCACAUUCUUGUAGAGUUUUUCUUCCUGCAAGAUAAGUGAUGCCUGUCUGAGAAAGUUGGUGUCACUUACCACUUUGGUUUGAUUUUUCUUAACCCUCCCUUUGGGUUCCAAAAUCUAUUUGCAGUAUUCUCGUGUUUGCUUUAAGGGAGAAAAAAUGGUCAUGCCCCGAAGUUCAAAGUCCCAACCAGAUAUGAGAGGAUAUUUAAUCUAUUAAACAGUAUUUAGUCCAUGUGGUGAAAGGAGUAAAAUAAUUUGGCGAUCUAAAAUUGUUUUGUGAAAUGCCUAUUAAUUGAAUAUCAUUCUUAACAAAUCAUAUUUGCUAGGAAUAAUUUUGAUGGACUGAAGUGUUUUACGUUUUAACCUUAUUGUGGUUUCUUUUUUUUGUAAAAUAUAGUUAUGCUGCGAGUUAAAUUGUAUAAUUGUGAAUAACUGAAUAAUAACAUGCAAAGAUGAGAAGCUAAGGUGGAGCAUAUUUAUAAGAGAAAUGGCAAAUCAUUGAGCAGAUUUCAUGGCCCCAUGGGAAUGCUUUAGCAUUUGGUUUACUUGUUUAUUGUGUCCCUUUAGAGUGGAGCGAUAUUUCUUGAAU